GACGAACGCUGGCGGCGUGCUUAACACAUGCAAGUCGAACGAUGAAGCCGGAGCUUGCUCUGGUGAAUUAGUGGCGAACGGGUGAGUAACACGUGAGUAACCUGCCCUUGACUCUGGGAUAACUGCGGGAAACUGUAGCUAAUACCGGAUACGACCCUCCGAGGCAUCUCCUGGGGGUGGCAAGAAUUUCGGUCAAGGAUGGACUCGCGGCCUAUCAGCUAGUUGGUGAGGUAAAGGGUCACCAAGGCGACGACGGGUAGCCGGCCAUGAGAGGGUGACCGGCCACACUGGGCCUGAGACACGGCCCAGACUCCUACGGGAGGCAGGAGUGGGGAAUAUUGCACAAUGGGCGCAAGCCUGGUGCAGCAACGCCGCGUGAGGGAUGACGGCCUUCGGGUUGUAAACCUCUUUUAGCAGGGAAGAAGCGAAAGUGACGGUACCUGCAGAAAAAGCACCGGCUAACUACGUGCCAGCCGCCGCCGUAA
rnacentral:rRNA from 1 species